CGAUUCAGUUACCUUCGGGUAAUGAGGAUGGCGGACGGGUGAGUAACGCGUAAGGAACUUGCCUCUUGGACUGGGACAACUGUUGGAAACGACAGCUAAUACCGGAUAUUAUGAGAUUCUCGCAUGAGAAACUUAUGAAAGCUAUAUGCGCCAAGAGAGAGCCUUGCGUUCCAUUAGCUAGUUGGUGGGGUAACGGCCCACCAAGGCGACGAUGGAUAGCCGGCCUGAGAGGGUGAACGGCCACAAGGGGACUGAGACACGGCCCUUACUCCUACGGGAGGCAGCAGUGGGGAAUAUUGGACAAUGGGCCACAAGCCUGAUCCAGCAAUUCUGUGUGCACGAUGAAGGUCUUCGGAUUGUAAAGUGCUUUCAGUUGGGAAGAAGAAAGUGACGGUACCAACAGAAGAAGCGACGGCUAAAUACGUGCCAGCAGCCGCGGUAAUACGUAUGUCGCAAGCGUUAUCCGGAUUUAUUGGGCGUAAAGCGCGUCUAGGCGGAAAAAUAAGUCUGAUGUUAAAAUGCGGGGCUCAACUCCGUAUUGCGUUGGAAACUGUUUUUCUAGAGUACUGGAGAGGUGGGCGGAACUACAAGUGUAGAGGUGAAAUUCGUAGAUA
rnacentral:rRNA from 1 species